CUAUGACACUUAGAGAAGAUGUCUUUUGAUUUUUCCCAUCUAACUAGAAAUUUCUGGCCUUCUUCAACCUUCAUGUAAUAGUGAAUUUAUUGAUACUGCAUUUGCAAGGUUGACGUUUCAUUUCUAAGAAAAGAAUGUUUACUACAAUUAGAUGAGAAGAGUCUCUUCUGGUCAAAGAAGAUCUCUUAAGAGUAGUUCACAUGGGGAAAAGAAAAAUGGAUCUGAGAACGCUGUCUGGGCUUGGUACCAAGAGCUGGUAUUUCACAGCAGCGACCGCCUCACAGACGAGCUGUGGGAAGCAGGAGGGAGACUCUCUCUUAGGGUGCCACUACUAUGGAGACACAGCUGGGCUGAACAAGAUUUGCUUCAAACGACAACAAGAGAGACAGAAAGUAUCUGGUUCAACCGCUGCCCGAGCAGGCAGGCACCAGAAGAGCUAGCAGCCAAUCCGGCCAUGCUCGAAGCCAGCUCUGCAGCUCAGCCAAUCAGUGACAUCAUUGCUUUCUUUAGCUUGCCCAUGGUGAUGUGAAGAUGAGAAGAAAUAGCAAGGCCCAACCAGUUCUUCAUCUGGAGACAGUUCAACGUUCUGCAAACCAGAUCUUCAGGAAUUUUACUGGGAUAAUUAUCCAAAUAAAUUGCAAGCAUUCUAUCCAAAUGGAGCUCUUUCUGAGAUGAAGAGAAUUCUCAAUGUCAAGAUUUGAACAAGAAGAGAAUGGAAUACACAAUAUGGACAUCCAUAAAAAUUCAUCAGAGAGCAUUUUACUACUGAGCUGCAAAGGUAGGAAAAAUAAAUUUUUUUUGGUUAGAAAAUAUACUUCUUUCAUCUGCGUUUCAAUAAUUUAUUCCCCUUGUUAGAUAUACAUGGAAUUGAUAUUGCUUAUUCUGACUAAGUGAAAAGUGUUAUUUCUACUUACUGCUCAAUUAGAAACAUGUAGUGUUUAAUUGUCAGUUUGAAUUUUUCUUUCAUACUAUUACAGUUUAUAUUUUACUAUAGGCAGAAUUUCCUCUUUAUCCUAAAUUUUGAUAUUCUCCAUAAUUUCAUCGUGCCUUGACAUUGCUGUAUAUAAUUUCUAUACAUCAGGAAGGCAAUUCUGUGUGCAUGUGUGUGUGUAUAUAUAUAGUUAGAAGUUAGAAACUGAAACUCUUUUUUGUCUACCAUCAUUUCAUAUUUUUCUUGCUAUUUCAAACCUAUAAUUUUUAAAGAAACGACUAACGUAAUCAUUCAUAGAAUAUGCUGUCAGUAACUUAACAAUAUAAAUGUUAACAUGGAGGCAUUUAGUUCAGCAUUUGCUUUACUUAAUAGAGUGCAGAAAAUGUGGCCCUUUUCUCAGUUAGGGUGUAUGUGAAGAUAAAUUUAGAAUUUCUAGACUAGUAAAUACUUCUCUGAUAAUAACUUAAUUAUAGCUAUUUCAAACCAAAUUGUUUAAUUGUGGUGAAUCAUAUGUAAAUUGUUCAGAUGUAGGUCAACACCCACGCCCACAUUCUAGCACCUCUUUCCUAAUUCAAGACAACUUUGCAGUGCCUAAAAGAGCUGAACAGUGCAGAUUAGAGACAUAAGACAAAAAAAAAAAAAAAACACAAAACAAUGGUAACAUAAAAACCAACCGUGUCAGAAUGGUAACACAAAAACCAACCAGGAGUCAGAAAGUCUCUGUAAUAAUGAAUAGGCAGGUUGUAUUUAUUUAGACUUUGCUUGAUUAUUUCUUAGGCUUUAUAUGUUUGUAGAUAACAGUUUCCUCACUGCUCACGAGAUUUGUGGCAAGCAAACUCAUGGUGCUUCUAGGAUAUUAAAUUUUCUCAUCUGUAAAGUACAUGCAAUAGCAUCAUUAUUGUCUACUCAUUGAACUGAAAUAAGGAUUAAACAAAUCAAGGACUGUAAAAUGAACGUGUGACUCCUCAAAUCCCAUACGGGAAGAACAUGCUGUUUUUCUUGAUCUGGUUGAGUCAAAGAUCACUGAUGGCAAGAAUGCCUUCUGUAGCUGCAGGUGAGGACAACUGAGAUACGGUGCAAUUGCAGAAAGUAAAUAAACUUUUUAUUUUUUGAGCUGUUACAUUAUAGUUCUAAUCUAUGGAUGCCUUUGUGAUGCAGCAUUGUAUCAUUUUCUGAUGAAUGGCUAAGGUUUUAUGAUUCUAUUUUAUCUUUAUAUAUUGUCUGCUGUAUUUUCAAAUAUUUUAUUUCCAUUUAUAGAUGCAUUGAAAAAUCAUAAAGCACAUUGCAUAAAUGUGUUACAUUUGUUUUUGCUUAUUUGUUUAUUUGAGACGGAGUCUUGCUCUGUCACUCAAGCUGGAUUGCAGUGGCGCAAUCUCAGCUCACUGCAACCUCCGUCUCCCAGGUUCGAGCAAUUCUCCUGCCUCAGCCUCCCGAGUAGCUGGGAUUACAGGCACCCGCCACCAUGUCUGACUAAUUGUUGUAUUUUUAGUAGAGACAGGGUUUCACCAUGUUGGCCAAGCUGGUCUCGAACUCCUUACCUUGUGAUUUGGGAGGCCUACCUCAGCCUCCCAAGUACUGGGAUUACAGGCGUGAGCCAGCAUGCCCAGCCUGUUGUUGCUUAUCUUUAGGUGAUUAUUGCUGAUGUUUUUGGUAUAUUGACAGAAAAUAGUCUUGCUGCUUGUUGAUGUAUACUACUUUUUGGCUUUAAUGAUAAUAAAAUUAUAAUUUUGCCUUAAUAUAAACUUAAUUUUUAUUGUCACUUAUCACGAGAAUUUGUUCAAGGAUUUGAACUUAUAUCUGCAUAUAAUUUAUGAUUUUUGACAUUUUCUAAAAAUUAAUUAUCGAAAAAAGUGGCAAUUGUUUAUUUUAAUUCUUAGAGGGGUAAAAUAAAUGGUGUAUCCUUUGCGCUUCUUUCAAUAUGAGUAUCUUUGUUGUUUUAAUUAUUUAAGAUAAAAAAAUAAGAAUUACACUAAACAUAAAAUGAUAUAUCCCUCAAAGUUAGCUACUACAAAAGUUUUCGUAUUUAUUCUUUCAGAUUCUUUCUUUAUAUACAGAAACAUCAAUAUCAAUAUGAGCAUAUAAUGUUUCCAUAUCAUAUAUAUGAUCCUCUGGAUUUUUUUUUGGUGUUUACCAUUUUAAUUAUGGGCAUUCUUCUAAGUCUAUGUAUGUUCUCUAUUUCAUCGUUUGUAAUGGCUGCACAUUAGUCAAUAUUUUGGAUGUAUCAUGAUUUAUUUAAUAGGUCCUCUAAGCUUUUGUUUAAAAAAUAGAACUUUAAAAUAGAAUAAAAAGAGGCCUCUCUUAAUUACAGGUUUGGCAGGCAUACAAAAGAAUAAUUCUCACUUGUAUACUGAAUCAAGAAAUUAAGGAGUAAAGAAAAAGUGUUACAGUAAAGAGUCAUUGAAAAUAGUAUUGAGUAAGUGUGUAUUAGUGGGCUGGGUAAAGGAAAGCUAAUAAUAUAGAUAUUCAUGCAAGUGUGUUGUAGGUGUGUAAAAUGGAACAGCUACCCAUUUCUUCAGAGUUUAUCUCAAAUGGCACCUCCUUCCAUAAGCACUCAGAGACUUUUCCCUUCAUUCCCACUCUCACCAGUUGUCUUACAUCGCUAUAAAAAUUCAGGGAAAAAUAGACCUUUUCAUGUUAUGUCCCAUGUACAAAUUCAUUUUGUAUGCAUCUUUUUUUUUCCUCACUAGGCUGUUAACCCCUAGAGGGUAAUGACUGUGUGUUAUUCAUCUUUGAACCUAAUAGAUGCAGAAAAAAAUAUUCAUUCAAUUAAAUUGGAACAAAGUGUAAGAAAAGAAAGUAAUCGGCAGGGCACAGUGGCUCACACCUGUAAUCCUAGUACUUUGGAAAUCCAAAGUGGGUGGAUCACCUGAGGUCAGGAGUGUGAGACCAGCCUGGCCAACAUGGUGAAACCCUGUCUCUACUGAAAAUACAAAAAAUUAGCCAGGAGUGGCAGCUCACACCUGUAAUCCCAGCUACUUGGGAGGCUGAGGCAGGAGAAUCGCUUGAACCCGGGAGGUGGAGGUUACAGUGAGCCAAGAUCGCACCACUGCACUCCAGCCCGGGCAUCAGAGCAAGACUCUGUUUCAAAAAAAAAGAAAAGUAAUCAAGUAGAACUGUUAAAUCUUACACAGAUUUUAUAAGAUGCCACUAUAUGCCUUGCUAUUAUGCCUGGAGUAAAUUAUAAUCAAUUCUCCUGAUGGAUGAGACACAAAUAAUAUAAACACAUGGGUUUGAUAUAUAAUGGAAAUUAUUUUAAAUUGAAUUUUAGUGAUUUUUUGUGGUAUUUAUGUUCAAAAAGCAUACCGACAAGUCAAGCAUUUCAGAAAAAUGUUUAUAAAUGUAUGAAAAAGUUGUUUGUGUGGUGCUGAACUUGGAUAUAUAUUACUGCAUAUCAAUGUGAAAACAUUGUGUCAGCUUCAAAGCAUUGUGCAUAUGGAAGACAUUAUUGCUA
ensembl:lncRNA MIR99AHG mir-99a-let-7c cluster host gene